rnacentral:ncRNA from 1 species
CUCUAUCUCUAAAGAGAGUUAGGGCGAAAUGAG